rnacentral:rRNA from 1 species
GGAUUAGAUACCCUGGUAGUCCACGCCCUAAACGAUGUGUGCUCGCUGUCGGAAUCGCUACAGAUUUCGGUGGCUCAGCUAACGCGGUAAGCACACCGCCUGGGGAGUACGGCCGCAAGGUUAAAACUCAAAGGAAUUGACGGGGACCCGCACAAGUGGUGGAGCAUGUCGUUUAAUUCGAUACUACGCGAAAAACCUUACCAAGGCUUGACAUCCUGGUCGUACUCUCCCGAAAAGGAGAGGUCAUUUAGUUGGACCAGUGACAGGUGUUGCAUGGCUGUCGUCAGCUCGUGCCG